rnacentral:rRNA from 1 species
AUGCAAGUCGAACGAGAAGCAUUACUUCGGUUUUGUGGAAAGUGGCGAACGGGUGCGUAACACGUGAGCAACCUGCCCUUGAGUAUGGAAUAGCCCGACGAAAGUCGGAUUAAUGCCGUAUGUGGCCUUUCUUCGCAUGAUGAAAUGGUUAAAGCUUGCAAUCGCGCUCAAGGAUGGGCUCGCGGCCUAUCAGCUUGUUGGUGAGGUAAAGGCUCACCAAGGCUAAUACGGGUAGCUGGUCUGAGAGGAUGAUCAGCCACACCGGGACUGAGACACGGCCCGGACACCUACGGGUGGCAGCAGUUUCGAAUCAUUCACAAUGGGCGAAAGCCUGAUGGUGCAAUGCCGCGUGGAGGAUGACGGCCCUAGGGUUGUAAACUCCUGUCAUUGGGGAGCAACAAGCAGGUUUAUAGCCUGCCCUGAGUUAACCCAAAGAG